AGAGUUUGAUCAUGGCUCAGGAUGAACGCUGGCGGUGUGCUUAACACAUGCAAGUCGAACGAAGAUGCCGGAGUGCUUGCACUUUGGCAGACUGAGUGGCGGACGGGUGAGUAACGCGUGGGUAACCUGCCUUAUACAGGGGGAUAACAGUUGGAAACGACUGCUAAUACCGCAUAAGCGCACGGUAUCGCAUGAUACAGUGUGAAAAACUCCGGUGGUAUAAGAUGGACCCGCGUCUGAUUAGCUUGUUGGUGAGGUAACGGCCACCAAGGCGACGAUCAGUAGCCGGCCUGAGAGGGUNAACGGCCACAUUGGGACUGAGACACGGCCCAAACUCCUACGGGAGGCA
rnacentral:rRNA from 1 species